GGAGACAGGUGCUGCAUGGCUGUCGUCAGCUCGUGUCGUGAGAUGUUGGGUUAAGUCCCGCAACGAGCGCAACCCCCGUCCUUAGUUGCUACCAUUUAGUUGAGCACUCUAAGGAGACUGCCGGUGAUAAGCCGCGAGGAAGGUGGGGAUGACGUCAAGUCCUCAUGGCCCUUACGGGCUGGGCUACACACGUGCUACAAUGGCGGUGACAAUGGGAUGCUAAGGGGCGACCCUUCGCAAAUCUCAAAAAGCCGUCUCAGUUCGGAUUGGGCUCUGCAACUCGAGCCCAUGAAGUUGGAAUCGCUAGUAAUCGUGGAUCAGCACGCCACGGUGAAUACGUUCCCGGGCCUUGUACACACCGCCCGUCACACCAUGGGAGUUGGUUUUACCUGAAGACGGUGCGCUAACCGAAAGGGGGCAGCCGGC
rnacentral:rRNA from 1 species